CUUAGUUCUGCCAUAGAUAACACAUGGGAUCAAGUUGUUAUUGUUGGGAGAAGUUUUGAAGGUAAGUUUUAAUUCUUGGUUUUUAUUAAAUUGUUGUGGAGAAGCAUGAUUGCAAUAGAAGUAGAAACCUAAGAUUUUGCAGAAAUAUGCUGACAGUGAAUUAUUACGAAAAUCAUAGUAAUUUGUACAAAUUGAUUUUGAUUCUGAUGUUUGGAUAUGUUAAACUACACAUUGUCUAGAAUGUUU
rnacentral:lncRNA from 1 species